GCGAGACCCCUCUUGCAUUGUGAUUAGGACUGCAGGCUGCCAGGCCUGGGGACUUGAGUUCUGUGGCUUGUUCUGUGCACCCAGGGAUGAUUCAGUUCUCUUUUGUCCUUUCAGCUGCUAUUAAACCCUCAUUCAUGCAGCUAGUCAGGACUGCUGAGGCCUUUUCUUGGGCACAAAUGCAUCACUUACAAAGGAAGACUGCUUUUUUCCCUUUCCUUGGACGAUUCAGUAUACCGUGGCACCAGUGCAAUCAUUAAAAUAAAUGCAAAUUAUAUGGUAACACAUAAUUAUAAGGAGUUCAUUCAGAAUGUGUUUUUAUUUUGUUUAGGAUAUCAUUUUUUUCUUUUUUUUUUUUUUAGAAAAAACACACACACAAAAUGCAUAGAACACUCUCAGAUUUCUGGGAAUAAAUCCAUGGUUUUCUGUUUGUGAAAUACUGCUCCAGGUCAGCGUGAUCCAUACUGUUGAUUUUUUGUUUGAUUGAUUCUGUUGGGUUAUGUAGCAAACAGUAUUCAUUAGCUUAAUCUUUCAGGAGAGAUUUCCUUUUUUCUCCUGAUAAACUAAUGUACCUCUUAGAUAUGUUUGUAACCUACCUAUUAGAUAUGUUUGUGGUUGUUUUUAUUUG
rnacentral:lncRNA from 1 species